rnacentral:lncRNA from 1 species
UUGCAACAGUAUUGGGUGUAAGUGGCUGUUGUCCUAUCACUAUCUCGAACGGACUUUGGUUUGUCGCCCCACUUCUUUGCAAAUUGUAAGAAAACUAAGCCACAUCCAGCAACUUUGGCCAGUCUCUUUGUGUGGCACUCACAUAGUGCCGUAGAUAUAUCUCUAACAAUGCGUUCACUCGUUUAGUUUGCCCAUCGGUUUGUGGAUGCAUGCUAGUUGAAAAGUUCAAGUUCGAGCCUAUUAACUUGAACAACUCCGUCCAAAAUCAUCCCGUGAAUCGCCCAUCUCGAUCGCUGAUGAUGGAUUGUGGCACUCCCCAAUACUUCACCACAUGUCUAAGAAACAAGCGGGUAGCUUCCUCAGUAGGACACUCCUUGGUUGCGGGGAUAAAAGUUGCAUACUUCGAAAACCUGUCCACCACAACAAAAAUGCUUGCAAAUCCAUCAGAUUUAGGCAAACCUACAAUAAAGUCCAUGGAUAAGCUCUCCUAUGGGCGCUCCGGAAUAGGUAAAGGCUGUAGCAACCCAGCAGGAGCCUUCAACUCGAUUUUAACUUGUUGGCACACUAAACAAGUUUCCACAUAAGUCUCCACAUCGUCACUCAUUUGAGGCCAAUAAAAUCGAUCCUCCAAGAGAGCCAAAGUGCGGUGCAUGCCUGGAUGUCCAGCCCAUCUUGAAUCAUGACAUUCCUUCAUGACUUCCUUUUGUAAGUUCCCAUGUUGGGGCACAUAUAGACGUUGUCCUUGAGUGUAGAGUAAUUCUCCCUCGAGCCAAAAUCGCCUCAUUUUUCCCUCUUUGGCAAGCUCAAUCAAAUUUUUGGCCGUGGAAUCGUGGGACAACCCUUCUUGAAUGCGCUCCAAUAAGGGACUAUUGGGUUGGCUUAUUGUUGCAAAUUCCAUCUUUCGGCUAAGCGCAUCAGCUACAAUGUUGGCACUCCCCGGCUUGUACUCCAUGCUAAAAUCAAACUCUGCUAGGAAAACCUGCCAAUGAGCCUGUUUGGGGGACAACUUUUUCUGGGUUAGGAAAUAACUAUUUGAAACAUUAUCAGUGAAUACCACGAACCUAGAACCGAGCAAAUAGUGCCUCCAUGUGCGCAAACAAUGCACCAUAGCAGUCAUCUCUUUUUCUUGGACCGUGUAUCUCCGUUCUGUCUCAUUCAGCUUUCAACUCUCGAAAGUAAUUGGAUGCCCUUCUUGCAUCAAUACUCCCCCAAUUGCAUAGUCUGAAGCAUCCGUGCGUACCUCAUACGCCUUUGUAAAAUCUGGUAAAGCAAGUACAGGUUCACUCACCAUUGCUUGCUUUACUUGGUCAAAAGCUUUCUCACACCGAGAGUCCCAGUCCCAUACUUUGCCCUUUUUCAACAAGUCCGUCAAGGAUGUAGUGAUCUUGGAGUAGCCUUCAAUGAAACGUCGAUAGUAGUUUACUAAACCAAGAAAGGACCGCAAUUCCAUUACCUUGGUUGGUGGCUCCCAAUCAGAAAUUGCUCGGACUUUGCUUGCAUCCAUUCGGAUCAUGCCACCUCCUACAAUAUGGCCAAGAAAAGGCACCUCUCGUUGGGAAAAUGAGCAUUUUUCCUCUUUCACAUACAGCUCAUUUUCCCGUAGGACUUGGAACACCUCCCUCAGAUGUCCAACGUGCUCCUCAAGCGUCUUACUAUACACCACAAUGUCGUCAAGAUAAACAACCACAAAGCGAUCUAAGAAAGGUUGUAAUAUCUUAUUCAUUAGGGUGAAAAAUGUUGCCGGAGCAUUUGUCAACCCGAAGGGCAUCACCAAGAAUUCAAAAGACCCAUACCGAGUCACACAGGCUAUUUUGGGCUCAUCCCCUUCGGCUACUCUCACUUAGUAGUACCCCGAUCGCAAAUCCAACUUAGUAAACCAUCUCGCGCUACCAAGUUGAUCGAACAAAUCUGCAAUGAGAGGAAUGGGAUACCUGUUCUUCACAGUGAUCUUGUUUAAGGCCCUAUAGUCAAUGCACAAUCUUAAGGACCCAUCAUGCUUCCUUUGGAAUAACACUGGCGCUCCAAAUGGGGCUUUGGAAGGUUUAAUGAACCCGGCAUCUAGAAGUUCCCUUAACUGCUUCCUCAAUUCCUCCAACUCAGGCGGAGACAUUCGAUAUGGUGCCCUUGCUGGUGGCUCCGUAUUAGGCAACAACUCAAUCUUGUGAUCCACCUCCCUCUUUGGUGGCAAUGUCUUGGGCAACUCUGUGGGCAUUACAUCUUGAAAAGACUGCAACAGCUGCUUCACUUCCUUUGGGAUUUCCCCCUCGAAUUUCUCCUCCACAUUGUUCCUUAAAGUGGCUAAAUAGGAGACUUCGUUUCUACGUACUCCUUUGGCAAAUUAGAUUGCCGACAAUUUUUUACCUUCCAUGUUUCCCUUUCUUUUCAUUCGCACCAUAUAACGAUAGUUUGAAUCAGAGAUCAUCAUGUAGUUCUCGGAAGGAUGAAUAUACGCAUUAAUUCGGUCAAACAAACUCAAUCCUACCACAAAAUCAUAAUCAUCAAGUGGGAUUACCUUAAUGGUUGCCUUGCCUGUCCACUCGCCAAGUUUGAGUUCCACCCCUUUAGCCACACUCGUUAUGGGAAUAAUUUCUGAGUUCACCAUUUUUAUUCGACCCGAAUCUUCCUCCACUUUGAGACCGAGUUCCUUCGUCAUCUCUUUAGACAUGAACAAAUCAGAUGCACCAGUAUCAACAAGGGCAUUCAAUUUCCUAUCUGCCACGAUGAUGUCCACAAACAUCAGCCGAUUACUCGUCUUGUCUUCAACACCGCCCAAUAUCGUACCAAGAAUUUUGGUGUCAAGAUUGGCCUCUUCGCGUGCUUCCAUAGCAUUGAAAGCGGCCCUCUUUGGACAAACACUCAACCUAUGUGGACCUUGGCAAAGAUAGCAUCUCAUUGGCUCUUUCUUAUCCCCUGGUCUACCAUUAUAAGUCCUUAGGGCCUCGCCACUCCUUUCUGUUUACUCUUUGUCUCCCCCACCAUUGCCUUUGGGUCUUGGCUUGGGCUUGGAAGCAUCAUUAUUGUCAAACUUUCUCCCGCCAACUUCGUAGAAAUUCUCUGCCUCAGCCAUAGCUACGGUCAAAUCGGUGAUACCUAGGCGGUGCAACUCUUGCUUAGCCCACAUUCUUAGCCCAUCCUCAAACAUAUAAAAUGCUUCCUUCUCAUUCAAAUUUGAGAUCUGAAGCAUCAGCUCACUAAACUCCUGCACAUAAUCUCGAACAGUGCCUUGUUGCGUAAGCCGGCGCAACUUAGCACGAGCCUCCUUUUCAGCAUGCUGCGGAUAAAACUACUUCUUUAACUCUCCUUGGAACUCCUCCCAAGUCCCAAUGGCCGUUCCUCCACGUCUCUCAUCCGUGGACCUACGUCGCCACCAUAAGAGAGCAACAUCAGUAAAGUAAAUCGAAGCAGUGUUUACCUUAGUGGCAUCAUCCUCAAUGCCCAUUGCUCGAAAAUAUUGCUCCAAUUCCCACAGGAAGUUAUCCACUUCUCUCGCAGACCUAGCCCCCUUGAACUUCUCAGGUUUUGGAACAUCUACAUGACGUUGCUUCGGUCCUGAAAUCAACAUCCCAUUUCCCAGAGCGACCUCACAAAUUGUGAGCUCCCCUUUAAGCUCAGCAAUAUCCUCUUUCAUGGCAGUCACCAGGGCCUCAAGAGCUUCGUCCCUUACCGUCAGCUUGUCUGAAGUGGAUCUAAGAGUGUCCAGCACGAAUACCUUGCUGUCUUCCCUCAGUUCCUCCAUACGGGUUAGGACCACUUCGAGUGUCUCCCUCAUGUCACCAACAGACUCCUCGAGAUUAACCACUCGAUUUUCCAAGCUCGACAACAUGUCCCUCGAUCGACUAGCCUUCCUGGCACUCUCACGGGUCUCCAUUGGCUCAUUCUCACCAACUUUUCUCGACAUCCUUGAAUAGUGCUUUCGAAAGACUGGCUCUGAUACCAACUGUCACGGACUUAGGAUAUUUACCUCACAAUCUGUGCGGCCUUAGGCAGUUUCUUGCUUCAAAAACACCUAAGUCAACCUAACUCCCACGAUUUGAGGAUUCAAUAGAAUUCUCUUUUGAAAACCAACACAAACGAAAGCAACUCAAAGAUCAAACAAAGGCGAACGAAGAACGAAAUAAGAACAAGCCAAGAAAUAUCAAGAACACAAGAGAGAAUAAUGUUUGAGUGAAUGCUCUCAAGAACUCUUAUUAUUCCUCAAAACUCAAGUGAUUUAUAAUGAGGGGAGAGGCCUCUAUUUAUAGUAGAGCCUCCCCAAAUCCAACGGUACAGAUCAAGUACAUGAAUGGCUAAGAUCGAAUGGUAUCUACAAAUCAAAUCUCUAAGAUUUACAAAAUCAUAUCUCCUAAGAUUACAUAUCAAAUCUAUGAUUUUAUAUCUUUGAAGAUUAUGUUUCCAUAUGUGACGAGCUUGUAGAUGGGCCUUCAAUCUCUUCAAGCAAUGGGUCAGUCUGAUCGGGCCAAAUGACCUCCUUCCCACUUGAUGGAUCCCACGAAUGUGUCAUGGUUGCGGGCUCCCAUGUGCAACCCAUGACACUAGACGGUUCGAUUAGUCUUUCGCCCCUAUACCCAAGUCAGACGAACGAUUUGCACGUCAGUAUCGCUGCGGGCCUCCACCAGGGUUUCCUCUGGCUUCGCCCCGCUCAGGCAUAGUUCACCAUCUUUCGGGUCCCGACAGGCAUGCUCUCACUCGAACCCUUCUCAGAAGAUCAAGGUCGGUCGGCGGUGCACCCGCGAAGGAUCACGCCAAUCAGCUUCCUUGCGCCUUCCGGGUUUUCUAGCUCGUUGACUCGCACACAUGUCAGACUCCUUGGUCCGUAUUUCACGACGGGCCGAAUGGGGAGCCCGCAGGCCGACGCCCGGAGCACGCAGGUGCCGAAGCACACCGAGGCGGCGCGUGCUGAAUCCCACGAUCGAGGUGACGACGUCUCCACGGGCGUAUCAAAGGCCCGGGAUUGGGCCACCGCCACGACCCGCGUUGGUCCACGCCCCGAGCCGAUCGGC